rnacentral:lncRNA from 1 species
GUGUCUGGUUUCAUUUUUCUUCACAUGAGAAAAGAUUCCAGCUGAAAAACUGCUGACUGUUGGCUUUAUGAUUUCCCCCUAACGUUACAGAAAAGCUGUGGUUAUGUACACACGUUAAUAGCCUGAAAGGAGGAACUUUUUUGUCGGUGUGUGCCCAGUCCUGUUAGUGGCACAAAUGCAGCUGUGAAUACCUGAGACCUCAUCUUUUGCACAAGGAUAGAGCCCUCGUUCUGCAACUGGUGAAGCAAGACAGGGGAAGGGAGGGAGCAGAUUUCCACCUGAAUUUCUUCACGUGCUUGAAGACGAGGAGUUUCUGCUAACUGCUGCCAGGCCAGGAGCUGGGACUGCCCAAGCCACCGACACCCAGUGGUCCCAGACACGCAAACCAGCACCAGAACCCGAGCAAGUCUCCAGCUUCCUAGAGAAACAGCUUGCUCUUGUUACGUGGACACAGGGUGCCAAUACCACGGAGUCCCAAUCUAAACCAGGUCCCCUAGGCAUGGCAGGAAUAAGAAUCAUCAUCUCCAGAUUUCAUGGGUCUGGUUGAUCUGCAAGAAGCAAGACUGGGACUAACAAAUCUGUUGGUACUUUAACAUAUUUGUGCUUUUGUUCUUUCUGAGCUCCUUUCCACCAGCCUUACCUCAGUGUGACAGUCCUAGGGGUUGAGUAAGAGACCUUGGCUUUACCUGCCAUGGUGAGAUUUGAGCUGUCUUGUUAAAAGUUCAGCAUGCAGGGCUGGCUUUACUCUGACAAAGCCAUGCUGCCUCAAGGCAAUUCAAAAGGUACUGCAGAAGCCUGGAGAAAGCACCAUUUCUGCACUGUUUUUUUACAAAAAAAAAAAAAAAAAGUGGUGAGAGAUCUGUGAGCAUGGCUUUAAUGAGCUGCAAACAUGGCACAAUGAUUCAAUAUGAGCCAGAAAUUAGUCAGGCUGAGUAGCAAAAUGACACUUUCU